GCCGGUAUAGCUCAGCAUGGUAGAGCAACUGAUUCGUAAUCAGUAGGUCGGUGGUUCGAGUCCACUUACCGGCA
rnacentral:tRNA from 1 species